GCAUUUACCUGGCGUAGGGGACACCGUGGUCAUGAAGGCGGUUUCCCUCAGAGCGAGGCUCCUCCAUUGGGCUGGGCGGGGUUGACCUCUGUGAUUAUCCCUAAUAAUAAAUGAAAUGAAAAUCCCUAAUAAUAAAUGCGGAUAACUCGGACGCGUAAUUUUUGGUAGUGGGGACUGCGUACGCGCUGUCCCCC
rnacentral:snRNA from 1 species